rnacentral:lncRNA from 1 species
UUUUUUUUUUUUUUGUUGAAGAAGAUUGGCCCUGAGCAAACAUAUGUUCCCAAUCUUCCUCUGCUUUGUAUGUGGGAUGCUGCCAUACCAUGGCUUGAUAAGCGGUGUGUAGGUCCACACCGGAGAUCGAACCUGCUAACCCUGGGCUACAGAAGCAGAGCACGUGAAUUUAACCACUAGGCCAUGGGGCCGGCCCCUCUUCAAUUGUUUUCAUUGUGGUAAAAUACAUAAACCAUAAAUUUUACCAUCAUAACCCUUUUUAAGUGUACAGUUCAAUGGCCUUAAUUAAGUACAUUCAUACAACUGCAACCAUCACUGGCAUCCAUCUAUAGAACUCUCUCCAUCUUGCAAAACUGAAACUUUGUACCUAUUAAACAACAACUCCCCUUUCUCUCCUUUUCCCAGCCCCUGAUAACCACUUCUACUUUCUGUCUCUAUGAAUUGGCACUCUAGGUACCUCAUAGAAGUGGAAUCAUACAGUACUUGUCCUUUAGUAUACACAACCUUUUGCCCAGUAAUUUCAUUGCUGGGACUUUAUCCUAGGGAGAUAGUGCGGGGGACAGGCAUUGGCCACCCCAACAUACGUCUCUUUGGCAUGAGGAUUAUUUGUGGCUGGUUACUCUGCAAACAGGGAAGGAGGCUCUGAGGAGUGGAACUUGCUUACCCUUUGUUAAGAAACAUUUACAUUUGUAAGGGAAAUCUCUAUCUGUAAAGUUGUCUCCCUCUGUACCAGGAAGAAGGGGGAUGACCUUAUCUCUAGAAAAUCUUAAUCAAUGCCAAAGGCAAGGACUUAAAUCUGCAUAAUAAUCUUAUUCCUGUUUCUGGUAACCUUCUGUAAUUGACUCCCCCCACCCCCAACAUCCUCUUUUGUCGUUAGCCGAAGAUGAUAUUUAAGGUGGUGGCUUCAGCCAUUUUGGCGAGUUGCUCAGCUUGCCUGAGCCUCUCCCAUGUAUACAUGUUAUAAAGCUUUGUUUAAUUUUCUCCUGCUAUUCUGUCUCAUGUGAAUUUAAUUCGUUCUCCGGCCAGACAAACCCAGAGAGGGUAGAGGAAAUGUCUUCCUCCCCUACAAUAGUCACAAAUAUGCACAACAAAUUAUGUACAAGAAUCUUCAUCAAAGCAUUGUUAAUAGUCUUUUAAAAAUUAGGGAAAAAAUGCCUGAAUGCUCAAGAGUAGGAAAUUUGAUAAAUAAAGAUUUAUUAAUUAUAUGAAGAAAUACUAUAAAAAUAUUGUGUAGAAGAAAAUGACAUGGAAAAAAGAAUCAUGAUGUAUUAAGCAAAAUUCCUAUCAUUCUAAAGAAGAGUAUAUAUACUGUAUGAUGUCAUUAAUUUUGGAGAAAAACAUUUGCAUAUAUUCUUAAUAUAUUAGCAGUAGUUAUUUAUGGGUAGUGGGUGUUUAUGAGUGGUUUUAAUUUUCAAACCUUUGUUUAUCUACAUUUACUACAAUGAGUAAAUGUUAUUUUUAAUAAGCAAAAGUCACUGAAGAAAGAUUAAGGAAAAUAAGAGAGUUUAAAAACAAGAAUUCUAGGGGCCGGCUCCGUGGCCCAGUGGUUAAAUUCAUGCGCUCCGCUGUGGCGGCCCAGGGUUCGGAUCCUGGGCGCGGACAUGGCACUGCUUGUCAGGCCACGUUGAGGCGGCGUCCCACAUCCCACAACUAGAAGGACGUGCAACUAAGAUAUACAACUGUGUACAGGGGGGGUUUGGGGAGAUAAAAGCAGAAAAAAAAUAAGGAUUCUAAAUUAAGAAUUUAAAAAUAGAAUCGAUCUAAGUAAUUUAAAUAUCUAAAACAUAUACAAAGAAAAUACAAUAUAAAGGCUUGGAAAUAUAAUUAGUAAGCUAUUUUAAGUUAAGCAGAAUAAAUUUAACACUAACAGAAUAACACAAAAUCACCCUUUAUUGAGCUCCCAGUGAAUGCCAGAUGCUGUCUGUGCUAGGUGCUAUAAUACAUCACCUAAAAUGGACUAAUAGGAUAACAAGUUCCUUUAUUUAAAGGAAUCACUGGAUAAUAUGAGGGAAAAGGCAGAAGUAUCUGAGAAGGGCAGGUUUCAGUCCUUUUAGCAGCCUCUCGAUUGGACGCCAUUCCUCCUUGAGAAUCCUUCCUCACAGCCUGGUCUUGGGGACAGACGGCUUCACCAGGAGUCAAGAAGCAAUGCAUUCAAAUGGUUCCUCAGGCUCCAACCCACUCUGCAUAGUUUCUGUCUCUCGUCAGAGCCCUGAGAGACCUCCCUAG